rnacentral:rRNA from 1 species
AGAAUCAACGCUGGCGGCGUGCCUAACACAUGCAAGUCGAACGGAGAAAGUGGAGCAAUCCAUGAGUAAAGUGGCGACCGGGUGAGUAACACGUGACUAACCUACCUUCGAGUGGGGGAUAACCUCGGGAAACCGAGGCUAAUACCGCAUAACAUCGUGAGAUCAAAGCAGUAAUGCGCUGGAAGAGGGGGUCGCGGCUGAUUAGCUAGUUGGCGGGGUAAUGGCCCACCAAGGCGAAGAUCGGUA